rnacentral:rRNA from 1 species
AGGCUUAACACAUGCAAGUCGAGGGGUAAGGCUCUUUCGGGAGUACACGACCGGCGCACGGGUGCGUAACGCGUAUGCAAUCUACCUUUAACUGGAGAAUAGGCAGAGGAAACUCGGAUUAAUACUCCAUAAUAUCCAAUUUUCGCAUGAUUUUUGGAUUAAAGCUCCGGCGGUUUAAGAUGGGCAUGCGUGACAUUAGAUAGUUGGUAAGGUAACGGCUUACCAAGUCUACGAUGUCUAGGGGGUCUUAAAGGAUGAUCCCCCACACUGGUACUGAGACACGGACCAGACUCCUACGGGAGGCAGCAGUGAGGAAUAUUGGUCAAUGGGCGAAAGCCUGAACCAGCCAUCCCGCGUGAAGGAUGACAGCGCUACGCGUUGUAAACUUCUUUUGUAUAGGAAGAAAAAUCUCUACGUGUAGAGAACUGACGGUACUAUACGAAUAAGCAUCGGCUAACUCCGUGCCAGCAGCCGCGGUAAUACGGAGGAUGCAAGCGUUAUCCGGAUUUAUUAGGUUUAAAGGGUGUGUAGGCGGAAUAAUAAGUCAGUGGUGAAAUCCUGCAGCUUAACUGUAGAACUGCCAUUGAAACUGUUAUUCUUGAGUAUAGUUGAGGUGGGCGGAAUGUGUCAUGUAGCGGUGAAAUGCAUAGAGAUGACACAGAACACCGAUUGCGUAGGCAGCUUACUAAGCUAUAACUGACGCUGAUGCACGAAAGCGUGGGGAGCGAACAGGAUUAGAUACCCUGGUAGUCCACGCCGUAAACGAUGAUUACUCGUUGUUGGCAAUACAUCGUCAGCGACUGAGCGAAAGCAUUAAGUGAUACACCUGGGGAGUACGGUCGCAAGAUUGAAACUCAAAGGAAUUGACGGGGGCCAGAACAAGCGGAGGAACAUGUGGUUUAAUUCGAUGAUACGCGAGGAACCUUACCUGGGCUUAAAUGUAGAGUGCAGUUCGCCGAAAGGCGUUCUCCCUUCGGGGCGGACUGCAAGGUGCUGCAUGGUUGUCGUCAGCUCGUGCCGUGAGGUGUCGGGUUAAGUCCCAUAACGAGCGCAACCCCUAUCAUUAGUUACCAGCGGAUCAUGCCGGGGACUCUAAUGAGACUGCCACCGUAAGGUGUGAGGAAGGUGGGGAUGACGUCAAAUCAGCACGGCCCUUACGUCCAGGGCUACACACGUGUUACAAUGGCAAGGACAAAGGGCAGCUACCUGGUGACAGGAUGCUAAUCUCUAAACCUUGUCUUAGUUCGGAUCGAAGUCUGCAACUCGACUUCGUGAAGCUGGAUUCGCUAGUAAUCGUAUAUCAGCAAUGAUACGGUGAAUACGUUCCCGGGCCUUGUACACACCGCCCGUCAAGCCAUGGAAGCUGGGGGUACCUGAAGUCUGUGACCGUAAGGAGCGGCCUUAGGGUAAAACUGGUAACUGGGGCUAAG